UACGAAGGGGGCUAGCGUUGCUCGGAAUUACUGGGCGUAAAGCGCACGUAGGCGGUCUUUUAAGUCGGGGGUGAAAUCCUGGAGCUCAACUCCAGAACUGCCUUCGAUACUGGAAGACUUGAGUCCGGGAGAGGUGAGUGGAACUGCGAGUGUAGAGGUGAAAUUCGUAGAUAUUCGCAAGAACACCCGUGGCGAAGGCGGCUCUCUGGGACGGUACUGACGCUGAGACGCGAAAGCGUGGGGAGCGAACAGG
rnacentral:rRNA from 1 species